rnacentral:rRNA from 1 species
UACGAAGGGGGCUAGCGUUGUUCGGAAUCACUGGGCGUAAAGCGCACGCAGGCGGAUCGUUAAGUCAGGGGUGAAAUCCCGAGGCUCAACCUCGGAACUGCCUUUGAUACUGGGGAUCUCGAGUCCGGGAGAGGUGAGUGGAACUGCGAGUGUAGAGGUGAAAUUCGUAGAUAUUCGCAAGAACACCAGUGGCGAAGGCGGCUCACUGGCCCGGUACUGACGCUGAGGUGCGAAAGCGUGGGGAGCAAACAGG